rnacentral:lncRNA from 1 species
CAACAAAGUUCCGGCAUCAGCUAGUAUUUUCUUAGAGAGCGAUGAUUGCAUCAGUUGUUGAUAGCCUUUUUUUUAUUAGAUAAUUUAGGAUUAGAGGAGUUGAAAACAUAGAAAGAUGUACGAUUGUUAGUUUACAUGGCAUUGAAGGAGAUUGAUUGGAAGAAAUGAGUUUUGGGUUGACCUUUCUUCUUGAAAAAUAAAUCUUCUG